rnacentral:rRNA from 1 species
UACGUAGGGGGCAAGUGUUGUUCGGAUUCAUUGGGCGUAAAGGGUGCGUAGGUGGCGCCGUAAGUCGGGUGUGAAAUUUCGGAGCUUAACUCCGAAACUGCAUCGAUACUGCGGUGCUUGAGGACUGGAGAGGAGACUGGAAUUCAUGGUGUAGCAGUGAAAUGCGUAGAUAUCGUGAGGAAGACCAGUGGCGAAGGCGGAUCUCUGGACAGUUCCUGACGCUGAGGCGCGAAGGCCAGGGGAGCAAACGGG